rnacentral:rRNA from 1 species
AUUGAACGCUGGCGGCAGGCCUAACACAUGCAAGUCGAGCGGAAACGAUCCUAGCUUGCUAGGAGGCGUCGAGCGGCGGACGGGUGAGUAACGCGUGAGAAUCUACCCAUGAGUGGGGGACAACCCGGGGAAACUCGGGCUAAUACCGCAUACGCCCUACGGGGUAAAGCAGGGGACCUUCGGGCCUUGCGCUGAUGGAUGAGCUCGCGUCGGAUUAGCUUGUUGGUGAGGUAAAGGCUCACCAAGGCGACGAUCCGUAGCUGGUCUGAGAGGAUGAUCAGCCACACCGGGACUGAGACACGGCCCGGACUCCUACGGGAGGCAGCUGGACAAUGGGGGCAACCCUGAUCCAGCCAUGCCGCGUGUGUGAAGAAGGCCUUCGGGUUGUAAAGCACUUUCAGCAGGGAGGAAGGCUUACCCCUAAUACGGGUGAGUACUUGACGUUACCUGCAGAAGAAGCACCGGCUAAUUUCGUG